rnacentral:rRNA from 1 species
UACGGAGGGAGCUAGCGUUAUUCGGAAUUACUGGGCGUAAAGCGCACGUAGGCGGCUUUGUAAGUUAGAGGUGAAAGCCCGGAGCUCAACUCCGGAGGGUCGGUGGAUACUGCCAGUCUUGAAGGUGCUAGGGGGAGAUGGAAUUACCGGUGUAGCGGUGAAAUGCGUAGAUAUCGGUAGGAACACCAGUGGCGAAGGCGGUCUCCUGGGGCAUUCUUGACGCUGAGGCGCGAAAGCUGGGGGAGCAAACGGG